UGCCAGCAGCCGCGGUAAUACGUAGGCAGCAAGCGUUGUUCGGAAUUACUGGGCGUAAAGAGAGUGUAGGCUGUCUACCAAGUCUGAUGUGAAAGCCCGGGGCUCAACCCCGGAAGUGCAUUGGAAACUGGCGAACUUGAGUACGGGAGAGGAAAGUGGAAUUCCGAGUGUAGGGGUGAAAUCCGUAGAUAUUCGGAGGAACACCAGUGGCGAAGGCGGCUUUCUGGACCGAUACUGACGCUGAGACGCGAAAGCGUGGGGAGCAAACAGGAUUAGAUA
rnacentral:rRNA from 1 species